GAUGAACGCUGGCGGCGUGCCUAAUACAUGCAAGUCGAGCGAACGGACGAGAAGCUUGCUUCUCUGAUGUUAGCGGCGGACGUGUGAGUAACACGUGGAUAACCUACCUAUAAGACUGGGAUAACUUCGGGAAACCGUAGCUGAUACCGGAUAAUAUUUUGAACCGCAUUGUUCAAAAGUUAAAGACGGUCUUGCUGUCACUUAUAGAUGGAUCCGCGCUGCAUUAGCUAGUUGGUAAGUUAACGGCUUACCAAGGCAACGAUGCAUAGCCGACCUGAGAGGGUGAUCGGCCACACUGGAACUGAGACACGGUCCAGACUCCUACGGGAGGCAGCAGUAGGGAACCUUCCGCAAUGGGCGAACGCCUGCCGGAGCAACGCCGCGUGAGUGAUGACGGUCUUCGGAUCGUAAGACUCUGUUAUUAGGGAAGAACAUAUGUGUAAGUAACUGUGCACAUCUUGACGGUACCUAGUCAGACAGCCACGGCUAACUACGUG
rnacentral:rRNA from 1 species